ACUUCUAAUUGAGCCAUACUUAUAACUGUUUUUUUGUCUUCUUGCUCUCUUUGGAAUCUUGGUACAUGUGAGAAAAGUUGGCUAGUUAGACAAUGAUUAUAUGUUGCUGGUUGCUGUUGGGAGCGAUUAGUGAUGGAAUGUGGAUGUUUAAUCCUUUAGACAAUAGUUAGUUGAGGUUUAGACAUUUUUCGGGUUUGAGCUUUAAUGGUGUGUUGUUUGAUUUUUAUGGAUUGUGUUUUUUUUUUGACGGAUUGUCGUGAAUUUUACAAAUUUUGGGGAUAAAGAAUUAUUUGUAACGGGUUUUACCCGUUAGUCUGUUGCCUCAGCGGGGUCGGGCUUGGGCUUCAUUUGAUACCUGUCCAUGGUCCGGGCCAGGCUUUUCUUAACCCGGAUUUCUAUACGGGCGGGGAACGGGGGGCCUGCAUCCGGACCCGUUCAACCCGUAUGCCAAGUCUAGGUGGAAGCGACUGAAAUAGACUAAGUAAGAAGUAGGAUGAUCUAUUUGCAAUCUCGUAUUAGUUUUCGCUAUAAAGCCUAAGAUCUUAUAAUGGUGAUAGAUAUCAAUCAAUUAAUAAUGAAUAUGUUAUGAAUAUUUCACAUUUAUAUAUUUGAAUGUCACUGUGUAACUACAUCAUUGAGUAACUCCUAUGCAUUCAUCAUGUAUUUUAUUAUUCUCAUUAUAUUGUAAUUAUGUUAGGUUGUGUAGGUUACAAUCUCUUGAGCCUAUAAAUAGAACUUUUAUUUGUAUCAUUUUUUUGACACCUCAAUAAAAUACAUCCUCUUCUCCAUAUUCUUAUGUU
rnacentral:lncRNA from 1 species